rnacentral:misc_RNA from 1 species
GACCGUGCACGCGUCAUCCAGCCUGCCGGCGGCGGAUCCGUUCGUCGUUCGGCCAAGUCCUUGACAACCUCUUCUCUUCGGAGUGGGGGCUCGAGGUAAAAGAACCCACGACGCCUAAGGCGUCAAGGAACACUGUGCCUAGCCCGGGGACGCGGACRGCUUGCUGCCUGCCCCCCGUGCUGCAACGCUAUUUAAUCCACACGACUCUCGGCAACGGAUAUCUCGGCUCUCGCAUCGAUGAAGAACGUAGCGAAAUGCGAUACCUGGUGUGAAUUGCAGAAUCCCGCGAACCAUCGAGUCUUUGAACGCAAGUUGCGCCCGAGGCCAUUCGGCCGAGGGCACGCCUGCCUGGGCGUCACGCAAAACACGCUCCCACCCCCUCAUCGGGGGACCGGGACGCGGCAUCUGGCCCCCCGUCGCGCAAGGGGCGGUGGGCCGAAGAUAUGGCUGCCGGCGCAUCGUGCCGGACACAGCGCGUGGUGGGCGACCUCGCUUUACUUACCGCAGUGCAUCCGGUGCGUAGCCGGCGUGAUGGCCUCGAAGGACCCUAUGAACGGUGCGCACGACGCUCCGACC